rnacentral:rRNA from 1 species
UCCAGACUCCUACGGGAGGCAGCAGUGGGGAAUAUUGCGCAAUGGGGGAAACCCUGACGCAGCAACGCCGCGUGAAGGAUGACGGCCUUCGGGUUGUAAACUUCUGUCGCAGAGGAAGAAGAAAGUGACGGUACUCUGUGAGAAAGCCACGGCUAACUACGUGCCAGCAGCCGCGGUAAUACGUAGGUGGCGAGCGUUGUCCGGAUUUACUGGGUGUAAAGGGCGCGUAGGCGGAUUUGCAAGUCAGAUGUGAAAUCCUGCGGCUUAACCGCAGAACUGCAUUUGAAACUGUUGAUCUUGAGUACUGGAGAGGCAGACGGAAUUCCUAGUGUAGCGGUGAAAUGCGUAGAUAUUAGGAGGAACACCAGUGGCGAAGGCGGUCUGCUGGACAGCAACUGACGGUGAGGCGCGAAAGCGUGGGGAGCAAACAGGAUUAGAUACCCGAGUACA